rnacentral:tRNA from 1 species
GGCUCUGUUGGCAAUUGUUUGUCUUGAAAACAAGUUAAGGGUGUUCGAAUCAUCCACGAGCUU